AUGUUCUUUUCUGCACAUCUCUUUUCCACAGGUAACACUUCAAUUCAUCAGACUAGUUUGUUUUGUGCUGUUUUCCUGAAUUCUUCUGUAUGGUGUGAGUUCUUGAAGAUGUUCUUUGUUCAUCUCGAACAGGUUUGUACAAGAUUUGGUGAAAGAAAACAUCUUACACUGUUAAAGGUUUGCAGUCACAAGCGAGGUUAUUAUUCCCCUGGUUUCCUCUACCAAAACUCAGGUUACUGCUUGGAAUAUUACUUCUAAUGAGAGUGAAGACUGAUUUACUCAGUGCUUGCUGUCACACAAGCAGAGAUGGCAGUGGUGUCUGAGGCUGCACAAAUGAACUGGAACUGAUAUUUUUGUCUGCUUGAAAUUCAGAGGUCAAACCUAUGAGGUCUUUUAGUAGAAUGCAGGAGAAACUUGCAUCAAAAGUGCUGGACUUUGGCAAACCCCCAUGAAUUCUUUUACCAAACACCAAGCAAUGAAUAGACAACAGCUUUUCACUACACUCUCAGGAUUAUUCCAAGGGGAGGAGCCUGUUUCUUCAACGUGCUUAUUAGAACACAAUUGUUCGUUUUUUUUCCUGUUGUGCCACAUACCUAAAACUUAUCUUUUGUCCCAUCAGUCCCUUCUCAGAACAUUGCCUUAGAACAGACCUUAGAGCUCAUACCAAAUGUGAAGCAAACCUGAAAUCUCUUUUUCUGGACUGAUAACUUAUUCUGGACUGAUAACUUACUUUCAAUGAGACAUGCAUUCUGGAUACAGGUAUAUCAUAAAGACUGAAACCUUACUUUCCAGCAGCAUACCGAGCAAUUUCUAGAGGGAUAUGGCUUUCUGGAACUGACUGAACUGCUUUACUAAAACCUGGUUUAUAUCUAUUAAAAAGGUAACAGUCAUUUGAAUGACCCACAGAGGUAUCUGAUAUGCCUUGCAGGCAAUAACAUAGGGUGUAAACAGAUCCAUUUGGCCAAUAAUAAAAUGCAAAUGUCUUAGUUCA
rnacentral:lncRNA from 1 species